rnacentral:rRNA from 1 species
UGGGGAAUUUUGCGCAAUGGGGGAAACCCUGACGCAGCAACGCCGCGUGCGGGAUGACGGCCCUCGGGUUGUAAACCGCUUUCAGCAGGGAAGAUAUUGACGGUACCUGCAGAAGAAGCUCCGGCUAACUACGUGCC